rfam:Pythium ultimum DAOM BR144 ctg_1117875579279, whole genome shotgun sequence.
GGGCGCGUAGCGCAGUGGUAGCGCGUCCGCUUUGCAAGCGGAAGGCCCCGGGUUCAAUCCCCGGCGUGUCCA